rnacentral:rRNA from 1 species
CACACUAUCAUUAACUGAAUCCAUAGGUUAAUGAGGCGAACCGGGGGAACUGAAACAUCUAAGUACCCCGAGGAAAAGAAAUCAACCGAGAUUCCCCCAGUAGCGGCGAGCGAACGGGGAGCAGCCCAGAGCCUGAAUCAGUAUGUGUGUUAGUGGAAGCGUCUGGAAAGGCGCGCGAUACAGGGUGACAGCCCCGUACACAAAAAUGCACAUGCUGUGAGCUCGAUGAGUAGGGCGGGACACGUGGUAUCCUGUCUGAAUAUGGGGGGACCAUCCUCCAAGGCUAAAUACUCCUGACUGACCGAUAGUGAACCAGUACCGUGAGGGAAAGGCGAAAAGAACCCCGGCGAGGGGAGUGAAAAAGAACCUGAAACCGUGUACGUACAAGCAGUGGGAGCACGCUUAGGCGUGUGACUGCGUACCUUUUGUAUAAUGGGUCAGCGACUUAUAUUCUGUAGCAAGGUUAACCGAAUAGGGGAGCCGAAGGGAAACCGAGUCUUAACUGGGCGUUAAGUUGCAGGGUAUAGACCCGAAACCCGGUGAUCUAGCCAUGGGCAGGUUGAAGGUUGGGUAACACUAACUGGAGGACCGAACCGACUAAUGUUGAAAAAUUAGCGGAUGACUUGUGGCUGGGGGUGAAAGGCCAAUCAAACCGGGAGAUAGCUGGUUCUCCCCGAAAGCUAUUUAGGUAGCGCCUCGUGAAUUCAUCUCCGGGGGUAGAGCACUGUUUCGGCAAGGGGGUCAUCCCGACUUACCAACCCGAUGCAAACUGCGAAUACCGGAGAAUGUUAUCACGGGAGACACACGGCGGGUGCUAACGUCCGUCGUGAAGAGGGAAACAACCCAGACCGCCAGCUAAGGUCCCAAAGUCAUGGUUAAGUGGGAAACGAUGUGGGAAGGCCCAGACAGCCAGGAUGUUGGCUUAGAAGCAGCCAUCAUUUAAAGAAAGCGUAAUAGCUCACUGGUCGAGUCGGCCUGCGCGGAAGAUGUAACGGGGCUAAACCAUGCACCGAAGCUGCGGCAGCGACGCUGAUGCGUUGUUGGGUAGGGGAGCGUUCUGUAAGCCUGCGAAGGUGUGCUGUGAGGCAUGCUGGAGGUAUCAGAAGUGCGAAUGCUGACAUAAGUAACGAUAAAGCGGGUGAAAAGCCCGCUCGCCGGAAGACCAAGGGUUCCUGUCCAACGUUAAUCGGGGCAGGGUGAGUCGACCCCUAAGGCGAGGCCGAAAGGCGUAGUCGAUGGGAAACAGGUUAAUAUUCCUGUACUUGGUGUUACUGCGAAGGGGGGACGGAGAAGGCUAUGUUGGCCGGGCGACGGUUGUCCCGGUUUAAGCGUGUAGGCUGGUUUUCCAGGCAAAUCCGGAAAAUCAAGGCUGAGGCGUGAUGACGAGGCACUACGGUGCUGAAGCAACAAAUGCCCUGCUUCCAGGAAAAGCCUCUAAGCAUCAGGUAACAUCAAAUCGUACCCCAAACCGACACAGGUGGUCAGGUAGAGAAUACCAAGGCGCUUGAGAGAACUCGGGUGAAGGAACUAGGCAAAAUGGUGCCGUAACUUCGGGAGAAGGCACGCUGAUAUGUAGGUGAAGUCCCUCGCGGAUGGAGCUGAAAUCAGUCGAAGAUACCAGCUGGCUGCAACUGUUUAUUAAAAACACAGCACUGUGCAAACACGAAAGUGGACGUAUACGGUGUGACGCCUGCCCGGUGCCGGAAGGUUAAUUGAUGGGGUUAGCGCAAGCGAAGCUCUUGAUCGAAGCCCCGGUAAACGGCGGCCGUAACUAUAACGGUCCUAAGGUAGCGAAAUUCCUUGUCGGGUAAGUUCCGACCUGCACGAAUGGCGUAAUGAUGGCCAGGCUGUCUCCACCCGAGACUCAGUGAAAUUGAACUCGCUGUGAAGAUGCAGUGUACCCGCGGCAAGACGGAAAGACCCCGUGAACCUUUACUAUAGCUUGACACUGAACAUUGAGCCUUGAUGUGUAGGAUAGGUGGGAGGCUUUGAAGUGUGGACGCCAGUCUGCAUGGAGCCGACCUUGAAAUACCACCCUUUAAUGUUUGAUGUUCUAACGUUGACCCGUAAUCCGGGUUGCGGACAGUGUCUGGUGGGUAGUUUGACUGGGGCGGUCUCCUCCUAAAGAGUAACGGAGGAGCACGAAGGUUGGCUAAUCCUGGUCGGACAUCAGGAGGUUAGUGCAAUGGCAUAAGCCAGCUUGACUGCGAGCGUGACGGCGCGAGCAGGUGCGAAAGCAGGUCAUAGUGAUCCGGUGGUUCUGAAUGGAAGGGCCAUCGCUCAACGGAUAAAAGGUACUCCGGGGAUAACAGGCUGAUACCGCCCAAGAGUUCAUAUCGACGGCGGUGUUUGGCACCUCGAUGUCGGCUCAUCACAUCCUGGGGCUGAAGUAGGUCCCAAGGGUAUGGCUGUUCGCCAUUUAAAGUGGUACGCGAGCUGGGUUUAGAACGUCGUGAGACAGUUCGGUCCCUAUCUGCCGUGGGCGCUGGAGAACUGAGGGGGGCUGCUCCUAGUACGAGAGGACCGGAGUGGACGCAUCACUGGUGUUCGGGUUGUCAUGCCAAUGGCACUGCCCGGUAGCUAAAUGCGGAAGAGAUAAGUGCUGAAAGCAUCUAAGCACGAAACUUGCCCCGAGAUGAGUUCUCCCUGACUCCUUGAGAGUCCUGAAGGAACGUUGAAGACGACGACGUUGAUAGGCCGGGUGUGUAAGCGCAGCGAUGCGUUGAGCUAACCGGUACUAAUGAACCGUGAGGCUUAACCUUACAACGCCGAAG